CCUAUUUGUUGGGUCUAGAGCCAGAAUAACCCAUAAAUUAUCUGUUGUUAUCAGUUCCAUAUCUUUUGUAUUCCAUGAAUGGAGUUUAAUGACAACACCACACAA